rnacentral:rRNA from 1 species
UACGAGAGGCCCAAACGUUAUUCGGAAUUACUGGGCUUAAAGAGUUCGUAGGCGGCGCGGAAAGUAGGGUGUGAAAGCCCUCGGCUCAACCGAGGAAUUGCGCUCUAAACUACCGUGCUUGAGGAAGCUAGAGGUGAGCGGAACUGAUGGUGGAGCGGUGAAAUGCGUUGAUAUCAUCAGGAACACCGGAGGCGAAGGCGGCUCACUGGGGCUUUUCUGACGCUGAGGUGCGAAAGCUAGGGGAGCAAACGGG